rnacentral:misc_RNA from 1 species
UGUUAGCCUCUGUUGGCAGUCC